AGGUAAUGUGUUAAAGCCCCUUACCAUAAGAAGUUUUGAACUUUUGGUUUCGGAUGCAAAACAAAUAAAACAAUUGUGUUUUAGUCUACCCUCAUCAUAUUAACAAAAAUUUUUGAACGCUAGCAGUCAGCAAUUCAUUUUUAUCGAGCAAGAUACUAUGUCGUUGAUUGAUAUGGACGAAAACUCGAAUGAGUUUAGCUUAACUGCUUACCAAUGGAAGGAAUUUGCCCAAAAUAUGAACGAUGUUUUCCUCAUUCUUAUUUCCAUCAUGGUCUUCUUCAUGCAGGCUGGAUUCGCUUUUUACGAGAUGGGCACAGUCAGAUCCAAAAAUACAACCAACAUCCUCAUGAAAAAUGUGCUUGAUUCCUCUAUAUCGAGUAUUAUUUACUGGGCUUGUGGAUACGCGUUCGCAUUCGGCUCAGAGUCGAACUCGUUUAUAGGCUUCAAGAACUUCUUUCUUUAUGACCUUGACCCAUCUAAAGGGUCUCACUACUUUUUUCAUUUCGUUUUUGCCGCUACAGCCGCGACAAUAGUUUCGGGUUCCAUGGCUGAACGAACCAAAUUUGGUGCAUACUUUAUAUACAGUCUUGCACUUUCUGGGUUUGUUUACCCGAUAGCAACACAUUGGGCUUGGGCUCCGAAUGGGUGGUUAGUCACGUGUUGUUGGUGGGAUUACGUGGCAUAUCGUGACUUCGCAGGAAGCGGUGUUCUUCACAUGUUGGGAGGAGCUGCAGCGUUAAUGGGCACUCUUUCUUUGGGACCACGAUUGGAACAGUUCAAUGACGGAAACCGAAAAAGAGUGAAAGGUCACACGGUACCAAUGACGGUUUUGGGCGCAUUUAUUCUUUUUAUGGGUUUCUUUGCCUUUAACGGCGGCGCUUACGGGAGAGUUUCAGAACCCGGCGAUGGUGCAAUCAUCGCACACAUACUCAACGUAACUAUACUUGGUGGCUCAGCUGGCGGACUUACAAUUGUGUUCAUUCACUACAUGAUCAACAAAAGUUCACGCUUUUAGGCUGCAUAAACGGUAUACUCACUGGUAUGGUCGCAACAUGUGCUGGUUGCGAUUCUAUACCAGCGUGGACUGCUUUGAUUACAGGCAUUUUGGGUGGUCUCGCCUUUAUCGCGUGCAGCGAACUCUUGUUCAAAUGGGGGGUCGAUGAUCCUCUCGACGCAUUUGCGGUGCAUUAUGGAGGGGGUGUGAUUGGAAUUGUGACAGUUUGCUUCUUCAAUAAGUAUACUGGAAUUAUCUUUUUUUAUGACUCGCACUCUUUCAAAGUUCUAAUUUGGAACAUGAUCGGUGGUAUUGCGAUCACUGUCUGGACUGUGAUAACUACAGGACCUCUGUUCUAUGGACUCAAAUUCUGGGGUCUAUUGAGGGUCUCUGAAGUCACCGAGAGGGAAGGGCUGGACUUCAAAGAACACGGCGAAGUCGCUUAUCCAGAGCAGAGUGCUUUCAAAAUGGAAGUCAUCCUCAACGAAAGAGAUACUCACGAGAAAUGUACUGUUUAAAACUAUUUUAACAGAAAACUCAGGACUAAAAAUAGGUAACCAAUUAUACAAUUUAACUAUUCAAUUACACAGACGCAUAAUAACAAAAAACGAAAACUGAAGAGUUGAAAUUAUUUCGGGAAAAACAUAAUGUCAACAACUUUUAACAACUUUUCAG